rnacentral:rRNA from 1 species
GACGAACGCUGGCGGCGUGCUUAACACAUGCAAGUCGAACGGAAAGGCCCUGCUUUUGUGGGGUGCUCGAUUGGCGAACGGGUGAGUAACACGCGAGUAACCUGCCCUUGACUUUGGGAUAACUUCAGGAAACUGGGGCUAAUACCGGAUAGGAGCUCCUGCUGCAUGGUGGGGGUUGGAAAGUUUCGGCGGUUGGGGAUGGACUCGCGGCUUAUCAGCUUGUUGGUGGGGUAGUGGCUUACCAAGGCUUUGACGGGUAGCCGGCCUGAGAGGGUGACCGGCCACAUUGGGACUGAGAUACGGCCCAGACUCCUACGGGAGGCAGCAGUGGGGAAUAUUGCACAAUGGGCGGAAGCCUGAUGCAGCAACGCCGCGUGCGGGAUGACGGCCUUCGGGUUGUAAACCGCUUUCGCCUGUGACGAAGCGUGAGUGACGGUAAUGGGUAAAGAAGCACCGGCUAACUACGUG